rnacentral:lncRNA from 1 species
ACAGCGAGGGGGCAUUCUAGGAGAGCAGCCAGGAGCCCCUCCUGAGACAGAAAAGCCAAGUUGCCCCUGGAGCCUCAGAGAAGGAGCAACAAGUAGUCGCCUCCCCCACCGCCACAUAGCUGUCGGGAGAGUCUGUAUUUGAAAGAGAAAGGCAACUGGGACUCCAGCUCCAGGCCCUCUCCUACAGGAAGACUUCCUGGAUUAAUCUGCUAAUCUUCAGCUCAUCCACCUGUUUAAUAGGCAAAACCUACAGAACUAGUCCACACUGAGUGGACCUCUGGGGCUCCCAGCUGCCGAUUGACCUGAACCCCAGAGUGAACUCGUGUUGCUUUGUGGCUUCAGGAAACCUUGGAACAUCUCUGUGCUGUUUUUUCAUUUGUGCUCAAUCAUUCCUGAGGCCUCCUCCUCCUGCUGCAAUUUGACAAGACUUGACCAAAUCAUUAACUCCCAGUUAAUGGGAUAAAAUGAGUUUGAAUCUGGGAUUCUGGUCAUUAACCCCAUGUCACCAUCUGCUCCAGCAGUUUGAUGGCAGGGCUAGGUGAAUUCUAAUCACCCAACACUUGUUAAACUGCUGAUUCCUGCUUCCCCACCUCUGCUGACUCAGCAUCUCUGGGGUGGGGCCUGCAAAGGCUCUCUUCCUUGACGGGGUUAUUGAGGGCAGCUCUAGGAACCCACCCAGGACCAGACCUGAUGAGGAGUUCCUCCUAUGCAUCAGGUAUGCUGGGUCGGUUUGCGGAGUUUCAUAACUUGCAUUUUCCUCUGCCUGGAGAGUUCCUUGCAGCUGGCUUCUUCUGUGUCACGGCCCCACAGAGAUCUUGGCUGGUCUCCCUAUCUCCACCCUCCACCAUGCUCACUAUUCCAUUACAAGUUUCCUUUUCUACCCAGUACUAAUCAUUUUCUGCAAUUCAUCUCAUUUCCUUGUGAACUAUCUGUUGGUCCUACCAGAAUGUAAGUCUCCACCUGGGGGCAGAGACCCUGCCUGGCUUGUUAGAAGCCAUAUCCCCAGGAUUGAAGCAUAUGAGAGAUGCUCAGAAAUACAAGAAUUCAUGAACAAAUGAACACGAGUGAAUUCAUUCAGCUCUGAUGCUGAGGCUCCCUCUCUGAGAUGAAAGAAUGGGGAACCUUCUUCUAAUCCUGGGGAACCUGGGGCCUGUCUACUUCUGUCCCUCUUUCCCCUGCGAAGGAAAAAUAGAAGAAAGAAGCCAUCUCUGUUUGCUUUCUCCCUGUCACUCAAUCUCUGGAGCCAACUGCUUCACAAAUAAAGAGAAGUGCACAGAGAGUCCCUGAAGCCCACCAUCAACAGACAGGCUUUCAACAAAACUGUAUCAGCACCGCCUUGGCCAUAGCUACACUCUACAGAAAAUGGGAGAGAGGAACAGCGCUAGAGAAGUUUGUCCUUGCCUGGUUCCCGGGUGGAACUUCCUCUCCCCCUUGUGUUCUAUGCGUGUGGUUACAGCUGCCUCUGAUCUUUGGUGACCAGCGGUUGGCAGUGGUGGUAUUUCAGCAUACCUUGAUCAUCGUGCUUAUUACACAGCCUCCUUUACCAUCAACCCUACCUACCUUCUUCUAGCCAUGCCCCCCACCUCCUCCCGUCUCUAUCCAUCUCUUCGCUCUUUUAAAAAAUACUUAAGUGUGUACAGAUCACAGUGACUUCAUUUGUGUGCCCAUUCACAUUUGAUGACUUCCAUAACCCCCAUACAAGUAGUUGUGUAUUCGUUUUAAUUCACUUUAUUUAUUUCCUAGCUCUUUCAUAAAAUAAAAUGAAAUAUAAGUAAUGAAAUGGGAAUAAAAAAGAGAAAAAUAGAAUUGAGGGGGAAAAGGAGAAAUGCAUCUAUGUUUGUGAUCACGUUCAUCUUUCUCCAUGCAUCAAUAUGCAUACUAUUAUGAAUUCAUUGCACGUAUUUUAACAUGUAGGCACUACAUGGGGAUGUGGUGUCUACAUACCACCUCUAUAGUGGUAGGCACUGCAAAGGGACAUACAAAAGGUAAAAAGCAUAGUCUCUACUCUCAUAGGACUUUUCAUCUCAUGGAUGUGGCACUCAUAAUGUCUUUUAUCUGUGUCCCACUUGAUGUGAAACUCUUUAGUAGGCAUGAUCCUAUUUGAUUUCCAUAAGCAGAAGAGGGGUCACUGUUUCCAUGUUAUGAGAGAGGAAACUGAGGUUCAGAGAGUGAAAGGACCCUGAUGAGAUAAUGGAACUGGGGCUCAAAUCCUGGUUUCCCGACUCAACAUUUCACAUUCUUUCUACUCUGUCAUUAUUCAUUAGUCAAGUUUCUCCACAGACAACUCACUGAGCCACAACAUAUGAAGCAGCAUGGUAAUGCCACUAGACUGGUCAUGAUCAGAAGAUGUGGCCCCAGGGAAGAGAAAGCAAGAGAGCUGGAGAUAGCAGAGAAAGCACCAAGGAAGGGCUUGGCCGUGCAGCUCUAGCAGGGAGGUCCUUCCUUUCAGCCCCCAAGUGUCCCUCUGUGUCUCAUCUAAAAAGCAAAAAAAGAGGAGAACUAGAGCUUAUGGUUGAAGGCGUGAGAAUGAGGUGUCUUUUCCCUCUAUCUCUGUAAUAUACAAGUAUAAAUACUAUAUAUACAUAUGUAUAUGUGUUCCUUUUUUCUGUGUCUGAUUAUGCAUGCAAUUUAGCAAGGAUUUAUUGCCUAAUUUUGGUCUGGGCACUUUGCUAACGCAAUGGGGGAGGAUACCAAGAAAUUAGGGACUCAGCCUCAUUGUCCCCAGAGACUCCUGGGGGUGGGCAAGGCACGGUGUCUGUGCAUACUGCUGGGGGAGCUCUGGAUUAGGGGACAUCAGGAGACAUGACAUUGAAAUGUCCUACUCAGUUCUCUGUACAGAUUGGAUUUCCGUGGAAGAAAGAAAAUCAACAUGUAUUGGGAGUCAACAUCUCAUUCAGUCCUGUGAGUUUAUUCUGCCUAUUUUUCAGACAAGGAGACUAAGGCUUCAAGACGGUAAGUAAAUUGCCCACAGUGUCACUGCUGGUGUGGGAAUGAGCUUCAGGGUCAUUGAGUCAUGCUGCUGCCCAGGUACCCUGUAAGGCCGUCAAGUGUUGUGGGUAAGGGUUUUGGUGCUGACGUUCAGGUGAUUGUGAGUUUAAAGCCUGG